rnacentral:rRNA from 1 species
GAUGAACGCUGGCGGUGCGCCUAAUACAUGCAAGUCGAGCGAGAAAUUGACUGAGUUUACUUAGUUAAUAGAAAGCGGCGGACGAGCGAGUAACACGUAAGUAGCCACCCUGUACUCGGGGAUAACGGUCUGAAAGGAUCGCUAAUACCGGAUGGUCUCGUAAGAGUAAAGAUUUAUCGGUACAGGAGGUGCUUGCGGCUUAUCAGUUUGUUGGUAGUGUAAAAGACUACCAAGGCGAUGACGAGUAGCUGGUGUGAGGGCAUGACCAGCCGCGAUGGGACUGAGACACGGCCCAU